UACGUAGGGAGCAAGCGUUGUCCGGAAUCAUUGGGCGUAAAGCGCGCGUAGGUGGCCUCGUAAGUCCGCUGUGAAAGUCAAAGGCUCAACCUUUGAAAGCCGGUGGAUACUGUGAGGCUAGAGUACGGAAGAGGCGAGUGGAAUUCCUGGUGUAGCGGUGGAAUGCGCAGAUAUCAGGAGGAACACCGAUGGCGAAGGCAGGUCUCUGGGCCAUAACUGACGCUGAGAAGCGAAAGCAUGGGGAGCGAACAGG
rnacentral:rRNA from 1 species